rnacentral:lncRNA from 1 species
AGAGUUAAGCCGUUACUAAGAGACAGUUGGACUUGAGUUCUCUCUCUCUCUCUCUCUCUCUCUCUCUCUCUCUCUCUCUCUCUCUCUCUCUCUCUCUCUCUCUCUCUCUCUCUCUCUCUCUCUCUUUCUCUCUCUCUCUCUCUCUCUCUCUCUCUCUCUCUCUUGUUUUGACCUAGAGGGACUGGCUGUUUUCUCUUGGUAGGAAAUUCUACCUUAUCUUUUCCAUCUUACCUGCUUCCCUGCUGACUGAUAUCUACAGAGCUUCAUGAUGUGAUCCUGAACCAUCUGUCUAACUAGGAAAAUAAUGACAAAAUUCACCUUGAAGAAUGAAAGAACAUUGUACACAGUAACAAGAAUACUGUGAAAGAUCAACUGUGAAAGGCUUAGCUACUCUAAUCAAUACAAUGAUCUGGGACAAUUCUGAGGAACUUGUGACAAAGAAGGCUAUCCACUUCCAGGAUGAGUAAACUAAGACUGGGAUAUUAAAUUGCUUUCUUGGGUCUACACAACUACUUUCUGAAGAAGGAUUUAGACCAAGUUCUUCUUGAUUCUGAAUUCAACAUUCCACCACCUACCUAGCUAGACCUUUUGGGAGGCAUCUCCAUUUUCAAUGUAUCAUUGGACUACUUGCUUUAAAAAUCUGACUAGAUAUACUAAGUCCUUGAGACCAAGAGGAAAAAAAAAUCUCUCUACCAAAUGCCAAGCAGUUAUGAUGUGUCACUAUGGUGCCAGUAUCUUGGGCUAUGGAGGUCAUGUCUCCCCUGAUAUCAGUUUCAGUGAACUACAGUGAGACAAAGGGAUUCACCUUGGAGAGUAUCUUCGGACAUGUAUCUAAGAAAAGAAAGUAAAAUCAGUGAGAGCCAGAGAGACUCCAGGGUUUCCCAGUAAGUGAUUAUUCUUCCCCCAGGAAAGGUAAAGGUGGUUUUACCAUCAUGAAGAAAAAUUACUGCGUUCUUCUUAGAGAUCCCAAAUUGUUCACUGGCUUGUCUAAAAUGUCUUAAAACCUUCAAGAACUGUGCCCAGUUCUCGAAC